GGAAGACAAAGGCCAAGAGUCCAGAGCAGGAGAUGAGGACCACAGCGUAGGGGGGAGCCAAGGGACCCUGGCCUGGGAACAGUCCGUCUGGGAUGGAGGGCCCCUCCAUCUCAGGAAAGCCCCCCUCCCCCUUUCUGUGAUCGAUUCACAGACCGCAGAACUCCACAGCUGGUCAGCAGCCGAAGCUCUCUUGGGGUGUGAUGGCUCGCCAAAUGGCCAGGGGGAUGCUUGCAGAAAAACCUGGGAAGACCUCCAUGAACUGAUGCAGAGCGAAAUACGAAAUACGCAGAACCGAGAGAGCCAGGGAUGGCCCAGCCCAACACUCAGCAAGGCUUGAUCCGAGGAGUGGGGAGGAAGGCGCUCGCCACCUCCAGAGAAAGAGACGGGGAGUCCCGAGGCAGAUCCUGGCGGAUGCUUUUUCACUUGGGUUUUUUUUUGUCUCUUGUUUUCUUUCACAAUAUGAGUAAUAUGGAAAUGUGUUUGCAUGACUGCACAUGUAUAACCGCCAUCAAAAUGCUAAGCUCCUCAGUGAGAAGGGAGGGAAGGGAGAGAAUCCGAACUUGAAAUCCUAAGAAAAUACACACGUCAACGUGUGCUGUUACAUGGAAUUAGGAGGUGUUCUGGGGGGGGGGGGUUAGUUUCCUU